rnacentral:tRNA from 1 species
GCGCCGGUAGCUCAACUGGAUAGAGUACUAGGCUUCGAACCUAGGGGUUGUGAGUUCGAGUCUUACCCGGCGCGCCA